GAUAUGCAUCUGGUGAGGUUAAGAAGAGAUUCUGCUAAUGCUCAGCUGGCAGACUGUGUAACAGGAAAUGUUUGAUGCUUCAGCUACAUACAGCAAGUUCUGCCUGGAUUAUGGUAAUAGGGAAAUUGUAGCCUGUCCCACUUUUAAUAGAAACCUCAAGAUGGAAUUGCCAGUGUGAUUUGUUUUAUGGGAAGACUCACAAGCCUACAGUUCCUCUGACAAGAUAUUAUUGCAACUGAAAAAUGACACCUUGUGACACUACCACGACUUGCUAUUGGUAACGUAUACAGUUUUUAAUUUUUUAAAUGAUUGCCUGACAAAUAUCUUAUGAGCAUGAAAUGGUGAUUUUUUAAUAUCUAAGUAUUUGCUAUGCAAAACAAAGAACAAAGAGGAAGGUUGA